rnacentral:rRNA from 1 species
UACGUAGGGAGCAAGCGUUGUCCGGAAUCAUUGGGCGUAAAGCGCGCGUAGGCGGCCCGGUAAGUCCGUUGUAAAAGUCAAAGGCUCAACCUUUGAAAGCCGAUGGAUACUGCCGGGCUAGAGUCCGGAAGAGGCGAGUGGAAUUCCUGGUGUAGCGGUGGAAUGCGCAGAUAUCAGGAGGAACACCUAUAGCGAAGGCAGCUCGCUGGGACGGUACUGACGCUGAGGCGCGAAAGCGUGGGGAGCGAACAGG